rnacentral:lncRNA from 1 species
AGAAAGAAAAGGAAGAAAACAAAAAUAGAAAACGUGAAAGAAAGAUUGGAAACAGAAAUUCGAGAUUUCGACCUCGGUUCCGUGUUCGUGAUUCUAAAAGGCACGAGACUCUACCGUCUCAUUCGAGAUUUCGACCUCGGUUCCGUGUUCGUGAUUCUAAAAGGCACGAGACUCUAUCGUCUCAAGAAUCUUCUUGAGAAAAUUAAGGUAAUUUUUUUACUUUUCUCUUUCAAAUUCUUGGAAUUCUAUAAUCUGAUUUUAUAUACAAACAUAGACAACAAAGUUUGAUUAUAACUCUAAUGGAAUGUGUAAGAAACUAUAACCACAUGAAGUGGUUAAAUCU